rnacentral:rRNA from 1 species
GAUGAACGCUGGCGGCGUGCUUAACACAUGCAAGUCGAACGAUGAAGCCCAGCUUGCUGGGUGGAUUAGUGGCGAACGGGUGAGUAACACGUGAGUAACCUGCCCUUAACUCUGGGAUAAGCCUUGGAAACUGGGUCUAAUACCGGAUAGGAGCGUCCACCGCAUGGUGGGUGUUGGAAAGAUUUAUCGGUUUUGGAUGGACUCGCGGCCUAUCAGCUUUUUGGUGAGGUAAUGGCUCACCAAGGCGACGACGGGUAGCCGGCCUGAGAGGGUGACCGGCCACACUGGGACUGAGACACGGACCAGACUCCUACGGGAGGCAGCAGUGGGGAAUAUUGCACAAUGGGCGCAAGCCUGAUGCAGCGACGCCGCGUGAGGGAUGACGGCCUUCGGGUUGUAAACCUCUUUCAGUAGGGAAGAAGCGAAAGUGACGGUACCUGCAGAAGAAGCACCGGCUAACUACGUG